GGCCUUUACUGACGCUAAAGCUCGAAGGUGCGGGUAUCGAACAGGAUUAGAUACCCUGGUAGUCCGCACGGUAAACGAUGGAUGCCCGCUGUUGGCGAUAUACAGUCAGCGGCCAAGAGAAAUCGUUAAGCAUCCCACCUGGGGAGUACGCCGGCAACGGUGAAACUCAAAGGAAUUGACGGGGGCCCGCACAAGCGAAGGAACAUGUGGUUUAAUUCGAUGAUACGCGAGGAACCUUACCCGGGCUUGAACUGCACAGGAAGGAUACAGAGAUGUUGACGCCCUUCGGGGCCUGUGUGGAGGUGCUGCAUGGUUGUCGUCAGCUCGUGCCGUGAGGUGUCGGCUUAAGUGCCAUAACGAGCGCAACCCUUUUCAUCAGUUGCCAUCAGGUGGUGCUGGGCACUCUGUUGAUACUGCCACCGUAAGGUGUGAGGAAGGUGGGGAUGACGUCAAAUCAGCACGGCCCUUACGUCCGGGGCUACACACGUGUUACAAUGGGGCAUACAGAAGGCGGGAUCAUGGCAACAUGGUUCAAAUCUUUAAAGUGCUCCUCAGUUCGGAUUGGGGUCUGCAACCCGACCCCAUGAAGCUGGAUUCGCUA
rnacentral:rRNA from 1 species